rnacentral:lncRNA from 1 species
GGUUUCGGGGAAGAGACCGGGGUUGAGCGUCUAGCCCAUCUCUGCGUGACUUCCGCCAGCGUUUAGAGCGUUUUCGGGGUCCGAGUUGAAGAGCAAAACCAAGUGAAGGAAACUUCACUAAGUUCAGGGUGACAAGGGAGGAAGUACAGAGACUGCACUUUAAAUUCUGGAUGACAGACCUAUCAGGACUGAGUGGACCUUUGAGUGACAAGAUGGGGGUGUUCCAAAGAGACCAUGGCAGCCUGCAGCUAGGACUUUAAUUGAACUAUUGGCAUGGCUCAAUCCAUUGACCUGUUUUGGUUCCUGAUGAAGUUUUGUUAAUUUAAAUGAGAAAAAUAAGGACAGUGAAAAACAGAGCGCUUAAAAAGCACUGUCUGGAUAUCUUCAGAGGGAAAAAGGAGAAAGUUAACUGAAUUGGUGACACUUCGGGUCUCUCACAGAGGAAGGGCCAAGGAGAUUAAGAUCAAGUUGGGAAUUCUCCUCCAGAAGCCAGACUCAGUUGGUGACCUUGUCAUUCCGUACAAUGAGAAGCCAGAGAAACCAGCCAAGACCCAGAAAACCUCGCUGGACGAGGCCCUGC